rnacentral:rRNA from 1 species
AAUGCCUAGGAAUCUGCCUGGUAGUGGGGGACAACGUUUCGAAAGGAACGCUAAUACCGCAUACGUCCUACGGGAGAAAGCAGGGGACCUUCGGGCCUUGCGCUAUCAGAUGAGCCUAGGUCGGAUUAGCUAGUUGGUGGGGUAAAGGCCUACCAAGGCGACGAUCCGUAACUGGUCUGAGAGGAUGAUCAGUCACACUGGAACUGAGACACGGUCCAGACUCCUACGGGAGGCAGCAGUGGGGAAUAUUGGACAAUGGGCGAAAG